UACGUAGGGGGCGAGCGUUGUCCGGAGUUACUGGGCGUAAAGCGCACGCAGGCGGUCUGCUAAGUUUGGAGUGACAGUUGGUGGCUUAACUGCCAAAGUGCUUCGAAAACUGACAGACUUGAGGGCUUCAGAGGGACACGGAAUUCCGGGUGGAGUGGUGAAAUGCGUAGAGACCCGGAGGAACACCGGUGGCGAAGGCGGUUCUCUGGGCCUGUACUGACGCUGAGGAGCGAAAGCGUGGGGAGCGAACAGG
rnacentral:rRNA from 1 species